AGUAAAGUUAAUACCUUUACUCAUUGACGUUACCCGCAGAAGAAGCACCGGCUAACUCCGUGCCAGCAGCCGCGGUAAUACGGAGGGUGCAAGCGUUAAUCGGAAUUACUGGGCGUAAAGCGCACGCAGGCGGUUUGUUAAGUCAGAUGUGAAAUCCCCGGGCUCAACCUGGGAACUGCAUCUGAUACUGGCAAGCUUGAGUCUCGUAGAGGGGGGUAGAAUUCCAGGUGUAGCGGUGAAAUGCGUAGAGAUCUGGAGGAAUACCGGUGGCGAAGGCGGCCCCCUGGACGAAGACUGACGCUCAGGUGCGAAAGCGUGGGGAGCAAACAGGAUU
rnacentral:rRNA from 1 species